CACGUUACAAACACGUCUAAUGGGUAUUGUUUUAGAAGGCUGGAGAUACAGAAGAAGGUAACUCUACACCGCUUGCUGAGUAGUGUUAGACAUGCUCUUAUUGUCGCUGUGAGUGACAGGGUGUCCGGACACGACAAUGCCCGUCCUGUUCUCUAUUGAUGACAAAAGACGCGUGGACCAAUCAGCGGCGCAGCCCGACCAUUCCCAGUCUUUGUAAAUACAAAACACACAUCCCGUUUCAUUAGCCCGCGUCCAGUCCAGCCGAGUCGGUGCGUACCGUACGGUGCAUGUGUGCGUGAGUGUGUCGUGCUUACUCGGUGUCUGUUCAACUUGAGGAAGACAUGGCAAACGCGGUGGAGAACGUUAAUCCGAACGUGAACCAGGGAGUGGAUAUGGGAGCGGGGACUCCCGGGGUCCAGACGAGCCAGACUAUCAACGGGGGCGACACCGCCUCGACCCUGACGUUUUCUCCCGAGCAAGUCGCCUGCGUCUGCGAGGCUCUGCAGCAAGGAGGGGACAUCGAGAGAUUAGCGCGAUUUCUCUGGUCCCUGCCGCCCAACGAGUUGCUGAGAGGCAGCGAGAGCGUGCUGAAGGCUCGGGCCAUCGUGGCUUUCCACGGGGCAGUUUUAAAGAACUCUACGCCAUUCUGGAGAGCCACAACUUCGACACGUCCAACCACCAAAUGCUGCAAGACAUGUGGUACAAGGCUCACUACAUCGAAGCACAGAAAAUCCGCGGCCGUCCGCUCGGAGCUGUGGACAAGUACAGGCUGAGGAGAAAAUUCCCGCUCCCUCGGACCAUCUGGGACGGCGAGGAGACGGUCUACUGCUUCAAGGAGAAGGCAAGACAAGCCCUGAAGGAGAUGUACAACAACAACCGGUACCCGACUCCGGACGAGAAGCGAAACUUAGCCAAGAAGACGGGCCUCACGCUCACACAAGUCAGCAACUGGUUCAAGAACAGACGACAGAGAGACAGGACUCCGUCCUUACACAAGGGGGACGACAGACACAGUGGACUGGACAGCGGUGACGAAGACUUGAAGGGUCAUCUGAACGGCGACCUCUCACACGACCUGUCCCAACUGACCGCACGAGUGGACAAGAUGGACAGCAGCAUAGCGACCACGCCGGUGCAUGCGCAGCAGCAGCAGGCGCAACUCCAGCACCAUCACAGCGCGCAUGCGCACCACAUGGUGGGCUUGGACUUCCCCGGUGACGUCGAGACCAAGUCGUGCGUUCCGACGCCUCACGAACUUCUGGGAUCGUGCUCGGCCGUGGAAACAUCCGUACUCUGCACGCCAGUCAGCACGAUCGUCAAAGGCGAGCCUAGUCAGUAAAAAAGAAACAAACAAAACAAGAUCAAAUCUCUCCAUUCCUAAGACUUUCACUCUCCAAAAAUAUACUUCAUACACUCCAUAUUUUCUUUUCAUAACUUUCGAUUUGACAUCAUGUCACUAGUCAUUCCGAAUGUUUUGUUUGAUUCUUUUUCUAUACCUUGGCAGCAUUCCUUCCCCGGCUGUCUAGUAUCUUCUUUUCUUCCCCAAACAUUGUACAUACCAUGUGGUUAGGGCGUGUUUUAUCCCUUAUGAAGUGGUGCCAAAUGCUUCUUCAUGUAAGAGAUGUAAAAUGUUGUGCGUGUGCACGUGUUGUUUUGAGACCAGCAAUGCGCAUGUGUAGUAGAUCCAAAAUGGAUGCUUUCAAUUCAGAACCCCCCUUUACAUAUAUAGCAGUUUUGCUUUGUAUAUUCUAUAUGUAAUAGGAAAACUUGAUAUUAUAUGUGCAGUCUUAAACGUAACGUAUUUUUGUUGGAUGAUAUUACGGAACCACGAUGUCUCCCUAGAUAUAUACUUUCUAUGAAGGUUGUUUCCAACACUAGGGGGAAAAAGUUGUCUUUUUUGUAACACAGGGUUUCGUCUCACUGUUGUUUUUGUGGAGUUAGAACACACACGAAGAGUUUUGACACCCGUACUCGAACUUUUUCCGUUAUUUUGCCGUUCCUUGCCGUGUUUGACAUGUAAUUAUCUUCAGUUUUCCGACAACAUCAAACUUUGGCCCCUUGUGGAAAAAAAUAGGCCAUCAGCCAAGGGCAAACAUCGUCGCCUUAUAUGGAAGUCUCCUAGACCUGUCAUGUCGAAUGUAGUCGAAAAUUCGUCGCCGCGCAUACAUCUUUGUGACAACCCCUUACGAAUCGUGUUCAAGUAUGCUCUUAGUAUUUCCUUGUUCAGAUUUGCCGAACUGUUAUUAUUGAUGUAAUAUUUGUAUACCAAAGAAUCGUGAAGUAAAACUUCAUUCUGCA